UCCUAAGUGAUAGUAAAUUUAUUUUUAUUAUUUUUAUUUUUAUUUAUUUUUUUACUGCAUGUGCAUGGCAGUGAAGAAUAUAAAGACUGUUAGUACUUGUGUCAUGCUUUGAUUUCUGCUAAGGUAUAAACUAUUUUACCCCCUAUUGUUUGUGUACUAUUAGUGCAAAUGUCAACACAGUGAAAAAGGCAAAUAAUGUCUUAAUGGUGUUAUGAAAAUAGCUCUGACCUUGUGGAUGCUUAGGCUCUUGAGAACCACCCAAGGGUCCAUGGAUUAUAUUUUGAGAACCACAGCUCUAAAUGACAUGUCUGACUUUCUUAGGAUUUGCUCCUGGAUCUUCUUUUCUUCUCACUCUUUACUCUCCUUGGGUGAAUUCCUCUACUGUCUUUGAACUACCUCUAUGCAAAUGACCCACACAUUUAUUUUUCUAGCCCUGACUUCUCCUUAGGCUCCAGACCCAUGUAUCCGGCUGCCAAUUUAACAUUGGUAUUGGACAUCACAAAAGUUCCCCAAGGGUACCCUGUCUAAGAACUUGUGGUGUUCUUCCAUGUUGUCUUCUAUACAGUUAUACAAGCUGGAAUUCUCAUCCUGACCACAUUCACUCUACCCCCAUAUCCAGUCUAUCAUCAAGUUCUGCUAAUUUUACCUCCUAAAUAUCUUUUUAGUCCAUAACUUCUCUCUAUAGCCAUCAUUACCACCACUACCAAAGUCAAAGACAUCAUUAUCUCUUGCUGGAAUUACCACAAUGGUCCCCCUUUAUUGUAGUGAGUGAUCUUUUUAAAACACAAAUCUAAUCAUGCAAAACCCUGCUUAAACCCUUCAGUGACCUCCCAUUGCUCUCAAGACAAAGAUCAAGAUCUUUAAUAUGUCUAACUCCCCAAACUAGGUCAGGUUCUUUGGUAUAUGCUCUACUGAAAAGAUUCUUAUCCUUAAUAAUGCUCAUCAUAGUUUGGUUUGUACUUAUAUAUUCAUGCAGGAUUGUUUGAUUAGUGUCUCUCCCUGAAGAGAUUGUAAGUUCGAUGAGAGCAGACGUUCUGUAAAUAUUUGCUGAGUCCAAGAUGGAAUGAGGCCUAGGACAAUUCCUCUGAACAUAGAUUAACUACUGAAAAAUUAAAUCUUUUGCCCCAGGCCCCUGAGUUGGGGGAAGACCCAUUUUUAUUUUCAUUGUCUCCUAGCAUUUCAAAGACAAAUGCUGUCUUGUCCAAUGCUUUCCAUCAAAAUGUCCUCCUAAUCACAGGGGCACAUUCAUCUUCCUUUUGACAUAGGAGCCCUUUUUGUUCUCCAUCACUCAUGCUGCCCAUGGUUCUUGGAGAGUGUUAGCUAGCAAUACUGUCCCUUCAGGAAUAGAAAAGAGGAUUCCUCAUCUCUUCUCCAACUAGAUGAUUGGCUGGGAGGCCCACUUCAGCAAGAGAGAAUAAAAUAUAUCAAGUGGAGGUGCCAAGAGGAAAAUAAAAAGAGAAUGAGUCAUGAUGUUUGUCCUCAGGGAGAAUUCAAUCUGCUGCAGGAGACAGGACCACUUCUUGGAGUCCUUUUCAGCUGAGGUCAAUAUAGCACUGGAAGUGGCCUUUCCUGAAAGAAGAAAGGGAAACAAGCAUUUAUUGACCCAUGUCAGGCACUUUGAGAUUUGUUCUCUCCUUUAGUCUUCGCAACAGCAAUAUGAGAUAACUCAAACUACUGGCAGCUCCAUAAAAUGCUAGGAGGCAAAGAUACCACCCCCGGCCCAUCAACACACACCCCUUCAAUGAAGCACUUGAAACAGGAGGAUGCUAGGCAUUAGCUGGACAUCAGCCUGCUCACAGAAGCUCAGGCUCCUGAGAUGGAAAUGAAGGAGUGCAGAAGUCAAAGUCAUUCCUGGUCCAGAAGCAAGUUGAGCGUUCACUGGCCUGGCCACUGGGAAGGACCACUCCAACACUUGUGAUUCCAGAAGCCUCAUUUUCAAGGCCCCUACUGCUUAAGGAACUAGGAGUUUGGGCCAUCUCAGUAAUGGCUCCUUGAUAUAUAAUCUGAGGCUUUAGGGGAAGAGGGAUACAGGAAUCAAAAAUAACAACUCCUGUUCAUUGAGCACUUUCUAUAGAUAAAGUGUUGGUCUAAGCAUUUCACAUGCUUUGCCUUGUGUAAUCUUCAAACGACUCACUGAAUUGUGAUCCCUCUUUUAUAGAUGAGUAAACUAGGCACCCACUUAAUGAUAAUAAAAAUUAAAAUAGUAAUAUUAAUGAGAAAAAUUUAACAGCUUUAAUGUUUUUUACACUGAUCCAGUGCCAGGCCCUGUGCAAGCAUAUUAUAUAUGUAUGAUAUCAAGUCCUGACAGUUCAUCAUAUUAUCCCCAUUUUCAACUAAGGAAACAGACUGAGGGAAGUGACUUGCCUGAGAUCACUGGAUUUCAGAAAGUGACCGAGCCAAGAGCCAAACUCGCUUCUGUGUGAUUCCAAAGCAGCCUGAAGCCACAAUUCCUUAGCAGCCUCCCAAGGGGGCCAUCAUGGCGAGGACAGGAGGUUAUGGAAGAGGAUCCCAUUGGCCUUUAAAAGCAGAGGUACCCUGGCUUAUGAGCUGGGCCAUGAGCUACAAACUCUGCCAUUAUGGGAAGCUGUGGGAGAGACACCGCCCCUUCCCACUGGGCAGUGAGGGAAGCUUUAAU